rnacentral:rRNA from 1 species
AAAUUGAAGAGUUUGAUCAUGGCUCAGAUUGAACGCUGGCGGCAGGCCUAACACAUGCAAGUCGAGCGGUAACACAGAGAGCUUGCUCUCGGGUGACGAGCGGCGGACGGGUGAGUAAUGUCUGGGAAACUGCCUGAUGGAGGGGGAUAACUACUGGAAACGGUAGCUAAUACCGCAUAACGUCGCAAGACCAAAGUG